CUCGUGAUAACCGUAUCCCCCAUUCAACAAACUUACAUUGCGAGGAGCCUCAUCAGAAUCUCUCUCUCUCUCUCACUCACUCUCACUGGACUCAAACCUCUGUGCGUGUACGGACUUCAAACGUUGCAAAGCAAACCUAUCAAAGGAGUGGAGCCCAAGAAGAAAGCAGGGAGAAAAUGUUCGGGUUGACUUGAUUCUAGAAUUCUGAAGACAUGUUCGGCUUUAUUUUACAGACAUGUUUGACUUUUUUUUUACAGACAUAUUGUUAGAUAUCCAUUGAUUUUAUAGUUUUAUUGUCAAAUAUCAAAAUUACAUGUCAUUGAUUGAGAAGUUUAGCUGGGGGACGAUUCAUUUGACUUGGUGUGGUAUGAUAUAUGAUUAGUUGAUUUUGGAGUUCUUGGAGAUAUAUUUGUCCAUUUUAUUUUCAGAAAAAUAUUUUUGCA